AACCUGCUAAACUACGAGUGGACGUGUGUAGGCUGUGCUCCACUUUUCCUGAACUCCUGAUUACAGUUGCCACAGGCCCUGAGCAAUGGUUUUCUCUUUUUUUUUUUUUUGUUCCACCCAACUCUUUGCUCAAUCAGUACUUGAACUUGGAGUGUGGCGCACAGACCAGAGGCUGCAGUGUGUGUAUGAAAUCCACCGCUGGAUCAAACUGGAUUGUUUAAGCCUGCUGAUUGCUAAAGGGAAGAGACAUUUCAGCACUUGCACCUAGUCAAAUGUUUUGUCUUGAUACAUUUAUAAAUCUUACAUCAUCUAUAUAAAAGGAAUGUAAUAGUUCACUGCAACUAAUUCAAGCGCUCAGUCAUUGUUCAUCCUUGUUCUCUUUGUCCGAAGGUUCACGUAUUUGCCUGACUUCUCACUGUAAACACAAUGGCAAAAACAUCAGAGGUCCGUGGGCCGGGGAUGUUUAUAUGAGCGGAGAGCCUGGAGAUGGAGCAGAGAUAUGAGUGCUGAUCUGUGAAAGGAACCACCACUGCAUCGCCACGACACACAAACACCAUCUGGUUGCCUCUCGCCAGUAAGAAAAGACCUCACACCUGCUCAGCUCGCAGCAACGCGCAGAGAAUCACUGGGAAACGUGACAUCAUCAGGUGCAGCCCAGUUCCUCUGUUCCUGUCUGACUCUUCCUGUGUUUGGUGACACCAGCUCCUCAGAGGGCCUCAGUGGAGAUGGGUCGGUUCCAGCACUGUCUAUUCCCUUUUUUGUGCACGAGAGGUUCAGGGAAGUCUAUUUGGAUGUGAGACCCUUGAAAAGUAAAUUAAUGAAUGUAUUUAGAUUGAUUCAAAAUAGUGUGCUUAAUAAUACAGAGGGACUUAAUUGUGCCUGUAAAUUUGCUGAUCUUCACUAAUGUACUGUAACACAGAGUAAAGUGUUUAAAUUUCUGGUGGUUUGGUGGUCUGGUGUUUAAAACAGUGUAAUGAAUUUUAUUCAUUACACUUCAUUUAUUUUGUUACUAUAAUUUUACACGUUUAAUAUUGUACAUAGUAUAGUAUAUAAAUAUUGUUUAUAAAUAUUUUACAUUAUCCUAUCUGUUAAAUAUUGCAAAAAACAAAUGCAAUUGCACUGUAAACUUUAAUUUAUGCAUAUUUUGUAUUACAAGCUACAAAGUAACUGUUUUUUGUUUGUGUUUUAAAAUAAUCAUAUAUUUCGUUAAAUACAUAGAGAGGUUAUGUGUCGGUGUUUUGUUUGUCGGUGCUGCUUUCAGGGCCCAGUAGCCGCCCUGCUCUAUAAAAUGAGAUGAGAUCCGCGAAAGACACAGACAACUGCUCCUGGGGCUCAGAUAGCAGCGGCCGGCUUUGAAGUGGUCCUCUCAUGUCACUGAAACAGAGUUCAAGUUUGUUCACAUUGGGGGUUUGCUCCACAGCAGCUCACUGACGCGUUUCAAUUCACUUGCACUGUGUAUUGUUUGUAAUGUAUUUGGGAUGUGAAACAUAUUCAGCCCUAAAUCUAAUUCAAGAUGCAGGGUCAGUAUUGAUAAGGACAAAUAUUUAAUUAAUAUAAAAUUGAAAAAAAAAUUCUAUAUCCUUCGAAAAAUAAUGUAGAUUUUUAAACACUAUGAGUUUUACAAUAUAAAAAAUAAAUUGCAAUAUUCGGAUGAUGGACUUGAAAGA
rnacentral:lncRNA from 1 species